rnacentral:tRNA from 1 species
UCUUCCUUGGUCUAGUGGUCAUGAUUUCCGCUUGUCAAACAGAUUCAUUAGACCGGGGUUCGAUUCCCCGAGGGAGAG